AAAAAGUCAAACCCUAAGUUUCCGUGUCCAACUUUGACUGUCCGUCUUAUAUAAAUUUUUUUUAUAAUUCGUAUUUUUAUUGUUGUUAGAUGAUAAAAUAUAAUUAAUAUUUUAUACGUGACUUGUCUUUUUAAUUUUUUUAUAAUUUUUUUAAAUAAGACAGACGGUCAAACGUUGGGCACGGAAACCAGAGUUUGUCUUUUUU
rnacentral:pre_miRNA from 1 species